rnacentral:rRNA from 1 species
GUGGGGAAUCUUGCGCAAUGGGCGAAAGCCUGACGCAGCCAUGCCGCGUGAAUGAUGAAGGUCUUAGGAUUGUAAAAUUCUUUCACCGGGGACGAUAAUGACGGUACCCGGAGAAGAAGCUCCGGCUAACUUCGUGCCAGCAGCCGCGGUAAUACGAAGGGGGCUAGCGUUGCUCGGAAUUACUGGGCGUAAAGGGCGCGUAGGCGGACAGCUUAGUCAGAGGUGAAAGCCCAGGGCUCAACCUUGGAAUUGCCUUUGAUACUGGCUGUCUUGAGUUUGGGAGGAGUGAGUGGAACUCCGAGUGUAGAGGUGAAAUUCGUAGAUAUUCGGAAGAACACCAGUGGCGAAGGCGACUCACUGGCCCAAUACUGACGCUGAGGCGCGAAAGCGUGGGGAGCAAACAGGAUUAGAUACCCCAGUAGUCC